rnacentral:RNase_P_RNA from 1 species
GGAGUCGGCCAGACAGUCGCGUCACUCGCAAGAGUGCCGAGGAAAGUCCGGGCUCCAUAGGGCAAGGUGCCAGGUAACGCCUGGGCGGCGCAAGCCGACGGAAAGUGCAACAGAAAGAUACCGCCUACGUUCCUUUCGGGGAGCCGGUAAGGGUGAAAUGGUGCGGUAAGAGCGCACCGCGAGUCCGGUGACGGACCGGCACGGCAAACCCCACCUGGAGCAAGACCAAAUAGGGAUCCAUUGGCGUGGCCCGCGCUGGAUCCGGGUAGGUUGCUUGAGCGCUGCGGUGACGUAGCGCCUAGACGAAUGACUGUCCACGACAGAACCCGGCUUAUCGGCCGGCUCCGCCG